ACCAGCAACUUUUUGGUGCAUGGGAUGAUGCUCAACCAACUGAGCCACACUGGCCAGGGCUGCAGUGAAUAUUUAAAGUGCCACAAAAGUGGGAAUCUUUCGAUGGUAGGUUAGCUUGGUUCAGAGGGGAAGUUUGAAUGAUCACAAUACUCAGCUAACUCACAGAGAAAAGACUGUCAUCCUUUAGCCAACAAACACUUCUGGGAGAAACCCUUUGUCAUGCUAACAUGGACUUAUUCAAAAUAUUCCUUUUCUUGGGCCCUUCUGCAUCUCUGGUCCUAACAACAUGGAUGCCGAUGCUCUUUUACAGCAUUUCGCUAAACGUAGCAUCUGGGUGGGGAUGUUUUUAACAGGCGUGCCUGUUAGGUUGUGAAAGUUUUGAUUUAAACAAAUUAAAAAAAGCAGCAGCCGCAGAGGCUUCAGAGCUUCUGGGAGUCUUGUCUGUCUUCCAGGCACGUCGGUGUAAACCUGAUGGUCUCAGCAUUUUCUGUUUAAUUGGUGCUGGGAGGAGCCGGGCUGCUCGUGGUCAAAUGGUGCACCGCAGUUUUAAGUCACUGGGUAAAAUUACAUAGUGCUUUCCACCCGGGCGUCAGAACCACAUUUUUUCUUGUCUUGGGAAAACACAGUCAAGGUUAAUUUCAAGUCAAAUGAAUUUCCUUCCAGGGAGCCUAUUAACAAAACAAACCUUGAUGAUUCAUCCAAUGCGGUGAACGCGCUUUGCUUGCUCGCUGGGAUCUGAUUGGCUCGAGGCCUGAGCACAGGUGUGUGGGAAGCCGCCCCUUCUGUAGCUCUCGCUCAGGUUUGCUCGCCUUCUGCAGCUGAAAUGAAGGCGCUCCACUAGUGUGCUCCACUCGAAGGAUUUAAGUGCCCUGUAUGCUCAAAAUUUGUACCCUCAGAUGAAAUGGAUUUACAUCUUGUGAUGUGUUUAACAAAGCCAAGAAUAACAUAUAAUGAUCGGGUGGAAGCAGAAGGGAAAGACUGCGACACUCUAGCCUCAAUCAACAAAAGCAAUAGGCAUACACACUUGAGUUGACCUUUUUCACUUUACUUCAAUAAGGUGAUAGGGAUUAUUUCACAUUUCAGCUGCUUUUGUUUUCUACUGCUAUCAUUGAGGGUUCAAGAACAAAAAAUAAGUCUUCAGAGGAUGUCCUGAGUAAAGAUACUGGGGAAUGUGCGAUAUGCCUGGAAGACUUGCAGCAGGGGGACACGAUAGCACGGCUGCCUU